GCCGGAGGGGCAGCCCUGGCUGCGGCCCCGGCGGAGGGACGGCGUCGGGGGGGAAGCCCGCUGUUGGAACUAGUUGGAUCUACCACAGACUCUUGGUAGAGCUGGCAAAGCUUGCAUUGUGUCUCAUCCCUUCAAUAUGGAGCAAACUUCUGGCGGUCAGAUUUCUUAACCCCGCUCGUCGAAGGAAUUUUGGCAGUGAAAUUAGUAAAAAGGAAGACGGAAAAACACCCCGGCUUCCACAGCAGCGGUAUCCUUUCUGAGCUUGUGGCAGUGUUACAGUGAACAUAAAAGAGUUACCAGCUGACAGACAAGGUACUACUACAUGGAUACAACAUACACAUCGUCAAGACGGACCCCACCAGCACGAGGAAGUUCAGAUUGACCCGACCUCUGAGCCCAAGGCAGUGACGGGCUCUUUGGAGGAUGCAGAUAUCAAACCACCUUCACUUUAGUCUAACUCCACCCAUUGGCAGGUGAGAUGAGUUUGACCCAUGUACUUAGGCUUUUCUGUACAUUUUUAAACAGUAAAAUACAGUAAUUCCAAGGACGCGUUGUUUUUUUCAGAUGACAAAACGUUUACUUAGAUGAAUCAUCCCUUUGCUGUUUGUUGCAGCUUGUGCACUGGCUCUCAGGUUGGAACAACCUAAAUACUAAUUUCAGGAUGCGUUUUGCAUGGGACCAGCUGGGAGGUGUGACAGCCUAGCAUAUAAAUAGGACUAUGGCUUAGAAAGUCUUUGCUAGCUACAGUUAUAUGUGUAUUAAUUCCAAGUUGGGUGAUUUUUUUCAGUAAUUACUAACUUGUUGGGCUUCUGGGCUUUCUCCUGAGGUGAGCCGAGGAGCUGCAGCAGCUUCUCCUGCCCGGAGUGGAGUGUGUGCCAGCGAGCGAGCGGCUGGCUGUGCAGAGGACCUGCUGUUUUCCUGUCAGAUCCCGUCAGGCCUGGGGAAGCUUCCCAGCACAGGGUUUGUGCUGGUCCCUGUUGGCACUUGGGGCUGGCUGUGCAGGCUUAGAGAGCAGCAGCUGUAGCCAAGCUACAGGUUUGGAGGGGAGCGCGGUCACCCUACU